rnacentral:rRNA from 1 species
AACGAACGCUGGCGGCAGGCCUAACACAUGCAAGUCGAGCGCCCCAGCGAUGGGGAGCGGCGGACGGGUGAGUAACGCGUGGGAACGUGCCUCUUGCUACGGAAUAGCCUCGGGAAACUGGGAGUAAUACCGUAUGUGCCCUACGGGGGAAAGAUUUAUCGGCAAGAGAUCGGCCCGCGUUGGAUUAGGUAGUUGGUGGGGUAAUGGCCUACCAAGCCGACGAUCCAUAGCUGGUUUGAGAGGAUGAUCAGCCACACUGGGACUGAGACACGGCCCAGACUCCUACGGGAGGCAGCAGUGGGGAAUCUUAGACAAUGGGCGCAAGCCUGAUCUAGCCAUGCCGCGUGAGCGAUGAAGGCCUUAGGGUUGUAAAACUCUUUCGCCGGAGAAGAUAAUGACGGUAUCCGGAGAAGAAGCCCCGGCUAACUUCGUGCCAGCAGCCGCGGUAAAGUCUGUACU